rnacentral:rRNA from 1 species
UGGGGAAUAUUAGAAAUGGACGAAAGUCUGAUCUAGCAACACCGCGUGUGCGAAGAAGGCCUUCGGGUUGUAAAGCACUUUUUGGAAGGAUUAGGAAGGAAUGUACUUCCAGAAUAAGUCUCGGCUAACUACGUGCCAGCAGCCGCGGUAACACGUAGGAGGCAAACGUUAUCCGGAUUUACUGGGCGUAAAGCGCGUGUAGGUGGUUCUGUAAGUAGGGCGUGAAAGCUCCUGGCUCAACUGGGAGAGGCCGUUCUAAACUGCAGAGCUAGAGGAUGGUAGAGGGAGGUGGAAUUCCGCGUGUAGCGGUGGAAUGCGCAGAUAUCCGGAGGAACACCAGUGGCGAAAGCGGCCUCCUGGACCACUCCUGACACUCAGACGCGAAAGCUAGGUUAGCAAACG